GGUGUGUUAACUCAGUGGUUAGAGCUUAGGCCUUGUGACCGGAAGGUCCUGGGAUCGAGUACCGCCAGAGGCACGA
rnacentral:tRNA from 1 species